rnacentral:rRNA from 1 species
CGAGUUUGAUUCUGGCUCAGAAUGAACGCUGGUGGUAUGUUUUAAGCAUGCAAGUCGAACGAAGCUAGUCGCCUCGGUGGCUAGACUGAGUGGCGAACGGGUGAGUAACACGUAAAUAAUCUGCCUUAAAGACCGGGAUAGCCUAGUGAAAGCUGGAUUAAUACCGGAUGUGCUUUUAAGAUCGAUUGGAUUUUAAAAGUAAAGGAGCAAUCCACUUUAAGAUGAGUUUGCGUUCUAUUAGCUAGUUGGUAGAGUAAAAGCCUACCAAGGCUACGAUAGAUAGCCGGCCUGAGAGGGUGUACGGCCACAUUGGGACUGAGAUACGGCCCAGACUUCUACGGAAGGCAGCAGCUAAGAAUAUUCCGCAAUGGGCGAAAGCCUGACGGAGCAAUCCCGCGUGAGUGAUGAAGGCCCUCGGGUUGUAAAGCUCUUUCGGCAGGGAAGAAUAAGCUAUGCAGGAAAUGGCAUAGUGAUGACGGUACCUGCAGAAGAAGCACCGACUAACUACGUGCCAGCAGUCGCGGUAAUACGUAGGGUGCAAACGUUGUUCGAAUUCACUGGGCGUAAAGGGUGCGCAGGCGGCUAAUUAAGUUAGUGGUGAAACCUCGGGGCUCAACCCCGAGCCUGCCAUUAAAACUGGUUAGCUAGAGUCGCGAUAGAGGAUCCAGGAAUUUCCAGUGUAGGAGUGAAAUCUGUAGAUAUUGGAAGGAACACCAAUGGCGUAGGCAAGGAUCUGGGUAGCGACUGACGCUCAUGCACGAAAGCCAGGGGAGCAAAUGGGAUUAGAGACCCCAGUAGUCCUGGCCGUAAACGUUGUAGACUAGUUUAUCGGGUCGUUUAUGAUCUGAUUAACAAAGCAAACGCGUUAAGUCUACCGCCUGGGGAGUAUGCACGCAAGUGUGAAACUCAAAGGAAUUGACGGGGGCUCGCACAAGCGGUGGAGCAUGUGGUUUAAUUCGAUGAUAAGCGAAAAACCUUACCCAGGCUUGAACGUGUAAGGACAGCCGGUGAAAGUCGGUUUCUCUUCGGAGUCUUAUGCGAGGUGCUGCAUGGCUGUCGUCAGCUCGUGUUGUGAAAUGUUGGGUUAAGUCCCGCAACGAGCGCAACCCUCACCCUAUGUUGCCAGCAUUUAGUUGGGCACUCUUAGGGGACCGCCCUGGUUAACGGGGAGGAAGGCGGGGAUGACGUCAAGUCCUCAUGGCCCUUAUGUCUGGGGCUACACACGUGCUACAAUGGGACGUACAAAGGGAUGCGAGAUCGCGAGGUUAAGCAAAUCUCAAAAAACGUUCCUCAGUUCGGAUUGUAGUCUGCAACUCGACUACAUGAAGCCGGAAUCGCUAGUAAUCACAGAUCAGCAUGCUGUGGUGAAUACGUUCUCGAGCCUUGUACACACCGCCCGUCACACCACCCGAGUUGAUUUCACCUGAAGUCGCUGUACCAACCGCAAGGAGGAAGGCGCCGAGGGUGGGAUUGAUGAGGAGGGUGAAGUCGAAACAAGGCGACCGUAGCGGGAAGCUGUGGUUG